CAGGAGGAACCGUUUUAAAUACCUGUAAUUGAGUUUGACGAUGCCAAUCGAUCCACAGGAUACAAUAAUCGGCGAGUUUCAAUUCUCCAUAGUUUGAAAAACCAAUGGCGAACCAGAAUAUACGAGAUACUACCAAACGACGAAGAACAAAAUCCUGAUACGUUAACACGUUCAAGGAUAUACCUCCAAUGGAACGUGGCUUCCGAACCAAGUGGAAUCGUGUGUACGCUGGUUUUAUCCGAAUAGUCUUGUUUGCUUUGCUGAUGAUUAUGCCAAGAUAGACACGAACCGGUAUUAAAAAUUGAAAUUCGCCGCGACGCGUAUGAUUUAUUCGAUGGAAUUGUUGGUGUUCCGAUAUCGCGUUUAUGUAACAGGCAUCUCUAUGGUGUUUCACUCUCUCGUCGUUGACAUCUACUGACAGGAUCAGGACGAUUAGGAUGGGCAAAGAAUUCAUACGACGCCGGCUUGCCGCCGAUUCGUUGCGGCAGCUAUCGGGGCUCGCGAAGUAUUCGUCUCCUUACUCGCCGUCGAUGCUUCGAAUACAGAUAAGCGCGAGAAGAGACACCUGGAAAGGAUCGAUACUGAUUUAGAAAAUAAGAGGAAGACGGAGCUAUGUCACACGAUAUAUUGAAACAAAGAACCAGACGAGUGGGGUCAAAGGAAAUGGUAAAUCAUUGUGCGCCGGUCCUUUCUAAAAAAAAAAAAAGAACAAUUUGGGCAAGCUUCGUCCUUUAGGAUCAAUGAAUGCAUCGAUCCCUUUCGUGGCCAGGGACGGUCGUGUGAUAUACAAUGGUCCAGUUACUCUCACGGACUCGCAACCUACCUACGUCGCCCAGGUAAAAGAUCUUGUCUGAGACCUUGACUUCCGGUUAGUCGCCGCGACCGUACAGACUGUAUGUAAACGGCAGGUGCACUGUCUGUGAAGUCCACGAUGAAACGCGUUUUGUAUUUGUCAAAUGUGCAAUUUACACAGAUCGACUGACUUUCAAAAUAUUAAACGUCUUACUCAUCGACAAACUUAUCUAAGGAAGCGACCCUCUAAUUGUUUGAAACGCUAUAGCAUGUAUUUGUGGUUUGAAUUACUGCUCGCUGGACUUUGAUUAUGCAAUAUUACGAAAGGACAGUCACGA